rnacentral:rRNA from 1 species
CGCGGCCUAUCAGCUUGUUGGUGGGGUAAUGGCCUACCAAGGCGUCGACGGGUAGCCGGCCUGAGAGGGUGUACGGCCACAUUGGGACUGAGAUACGGCCCAGACUCCUACGGGAGGCAGCAGUGGGGAAUAUUGCACAAUGGGCGCAAGCCUGAUGCAGCGACGCCGCGUGGGGGAUGACGGCCUUCGGGUUGUAAACUCCUUUCGCUAGGGACGAAGAGGAAUUGACGGUACCUGGAAAAGAAGCACCGGCUAACUACGUGCCAGCAGCCGCGGUAAUACGUGGGGUGCGAGCGUUGUCCGGAAUUACUGGGCGUAAAGAGCUCGUAGGUGGUUUGUCGCGUCGUUUGUGUAAGUCCGCAGCUUAACUGCGGGACUGCAGGCGAUACGGGCAUAACUUGAGUGCUGUAGGGGAGACUGGAAUUCCUGGUGUAGCGGUGGAAUGCGCAGAUAUCAGGAGGAACACCGAUGGCGAAGGCAGGUCUCUGGGCAGUAACUGACGCUGAGGAGCGAAAGCAUGGGGAGCGAACAGGAUUAGAUACCCGGUAGUCCAUGCCGUAAACGGUGGGCGCUAGGUGUGAGUCCCUUCCACGGGGUUCGUGCCGUAGCUAACGCAUUAAGCGCCCCGCCUGGGGAGUACGG